UUCCAAACGAAUGACUUGAAGCCUAAAGGGGAGCAAAUUUCCUCGUCUUUUUGGACACUAGCCAUAGCACCAGCCCAGGAGCAGCGUACUAGUUGUCGACUCCCCUUUCACGUACCUGCUCUGCUCACAAUACAACAACGCCGGGCGCACUACUCCCGGAAAGAUGAAGCAAGCAACAAUGAACUGGAUUUCAAAAUAAAGUCGCGUCUAAUGUCCGAGGUCAAACACGGCGAUAUAAAUCGAUGUUUACGUUUAGCAUCGAUGCCAAUAAAUCGUAGAGCAUUAUAUCGAUUAAUCGAUGUGUAUCGAUGUAUCGUUACACCCCUAAUUAUUACCGUUUUUUUCCAUGUAUAAUGCGCCCCCAUGUAUAAUACGCACCCUAAAAAUGGCAUGUCGAUGCUGGAAAAAAGCCUGUACCCAUGUAUAAUACGCACCCAUUUUUAUUUAUUUAUUUUUUUAAGUCCCAAUGAUCGUCACACACGCAUCUGGGUGUGGUGAAAUUUGUCCUCUGCAUUUGACCCAUCCCCGUGUGAUUUUGAUCCAUCCCCUGGGGGAGAGGGGAGCAGUGAGCAGCAGCGGCGCCGCGCUCGGGAAUCAUUUGGUGAUCUAACCCCCCAAUUCCAACCCUUAAUGCUGAGUGCCAAGCAGGGAGGCAAUGGGUCCCAUUUUUAUAGUCUUUGGUAUGGUCUUAACUAGGCUGGACGUAUUUUUUUUGUUGGCGUUGAUUUCUCCGACUGCCCGUAAAGGCACCACCGCGAUCAGUUUGUUUAAAAUGGAAAAGAGGAAAGUGACGAGCGGACAUGUGAAAAAGGCGGCUCUGUAUGGGAGAGAAGUUGAAGAGGAAUAGAAACACCCUUGGAAACCAAAACUUGCCCCUCUUCGUGACUCGGAGCCGCAACAAAUGUUUCAGAUUUGUGUAGGGUACAUUGUGACAGCAAACGAGCAGGGGAUCGAGCAAGCGUCUGAUACGAGAGCAUUGCGUUCGUAUGGAGCGUGUUUGAAGUGAACAGCAGAGACAAAAGGAACAAGGCAAAGUGUUGUGUAAUAAAAUAUUACCUGUAAUACGCAUUUUGUUAUUUGCUGAUUGUAUUAAACUAUCACAUUCAUUGUCAGUCAAGAAGAGGACUAUUCGCAUCGGAUCCAUAGUGCGCAUGCUGCCUCCGUAUGACGUCCAGUCCGCGAUGGAGAUUAAAAACCAAACAAUAUUUGACAAUAACACAGGUUUCUUUUCCUGUCUUUAGUAAUGUCACCCUGUCUUUUUGUUCCACGUCUUUGUCGGUCAAUCCUGUUGUUGGUUUUGUUAGAGAGUUAUGUUAGUUUACCAAGUCUGUGUUUUGAGUUCCUCCAAUGAACCCUAGUCCAAGCUGCACUCGGUCGCCCUGCUCCUUUCCACACUCCAUCCGUGACAAGAUUUUCUUCAAAAAUUGUUGUACCAUGAUUUUCUUACCAAAAAAAUUUUUUUUAAAAUUGUACCCAUGUAUAAUGCGCACCCCAGAUUUUAGGACAAUAAAUUAGUUAAAUUUUGCGCAUUAUACAUAGGAAAAAACGGUAUAUUUGAUGGAUUUAAUUUUGUCGUCUAUAUUAGGUCUAUGGCAUGACCUAAUAUAGACGUCUAAAAUAGGUCUACACUUAGACGAGACGUCUAAUAGUUCUAGUUCUAAGUUCUAAUAGAGGGAACCUGUUCAAAUUUGGCACACAGCCUGAAAGGACCCUCAGGGAUACAGAAAAAAAACAGCUGGAGUCCAGCACUCACAGUUCUCAAAAUAAGGGGGGGGGAACAUAUCCUCACGGGCCGGCUGUGAGGAUUUGUUCCCCCCCUGUAAUUUGGCCUAGGAAUGAGGGAACCUGCUCAAAUUUGGCACACAACCUGAAAAGACCCCCAGGGAGACACAAAACAAAACGUCAAUACCCAAAUGGUAUUACGAAGAAGGAGAAGUACGUAUUGAGAAGAAAAGCUUUUUACGACGUUGAGGGUAAGAUACACAACGUACUUAAAUCAAGCAAAUUAGAUCCAGAGACGCACCAAAAAUUCACAUUGCAGAACCUGCUAAUUUCUACAUUAACAUCAGAAACUUAAGUUUUAGAGUAAUUACUCUAUAAGACAAAUAAUUGACUUAUAAAAUGUUGGACGCAAUAUAUAUAACACACCUCACUAUGAAGGAAAUUGUUGAAUUUGUUGAGUGCAACUCAAGCUAUGUUUUUUUUUCAAGUAACUAUUUGUAGAUCUAUUGAGCAAAUAUUUGAUAAAUUAUCAAACUAAAGUAACAUAUUUGGUUGUAGACCCAUUGAGUGAACAUUUGAUAUAUAAUGAAACUAAUGGGUUUUUUUUGUCUAAGUAGCAAAUUUGCAAUUAGGUGUAUUGAGUGAGCACUUAAUGAAUUACCACAAGUAUGGUGCUAAUUCAACGUUUUAUUUUUACUUCUACUCAGGAGGGGAGCUGUAUUAUUGCCGCCAAAACGGCAUAGACCAGGCAGUCCAAGUGAAGGUUGUCUGUGGUGCUGAAGAGGCGAAUGAAAUUUUUAAGAGUUUUCAUGCCAGCCCGGCAGCGGCACACACCACAUUCUUUAUGCACUGCUAACAUCUGACAUUGUAUUUUUCAGUUUGCAGAACAUCUUCUUUCAAAUGAAGAAAUAGAUUUCUCAGCAAAGGCACAUGAUAUAAAUAGGUACAGGCUGCAAAUUGGCACCACACUUCUAUUAGAGACUGAUGAUUCAUCUGACUUGUGCUUUGUUUGUGGGGAAGCUACACAUGACACAGACAACAGAUGGAUUCAGUGUGACGAGUGUUGCAGGUGGUUCCAUCUUGUAUGUGUCGGGGAGCCUCCAACUGAAGGCUCUUUUUUGUGUACAACAUGUACAGAAAUUAAAUGCUAAAUAUUUGAAGCUUGCUUAAAGAC